UUUCGGAAAGAUGGAUUUUCUGGGUUGAACAGGGCCUGAAGGUCGAACCAGAGACGGGCGUGACUUUGCCCUCGACCUAAGUCACGUGGCAAGUCGCAUAAGCUUUUGUAAUUCCAAAAAUGUCGUGAUCAAGGGAAAAGAAGAUGAAAUAGUAGGCCAUGUGACCUAAGUCGUUCAAGCCACUGUUUUGCAUUUUUUUUCUAGUUUUUGUCUCAUGUCUUUUGGGGUAAUUUAGGGUUUCAUUUAUGUGUCUUAGAGAUUGUUUAGACAAGGUUGUGUCUAUCUCUCUUUAUUGUGAUCUAUGCUUACCUUAUCCAGGUUCGCAUUCAGUUUUGAUAAUUCGUAUCAGUUAAAGUUCUUAGCAUCAUAUAUCAUUAUGGAGGGCAGUAACGUUUAGAAGGGAAAAUAAAUG